UUGGUGAAAGAAUUACUGCGGAAAGCCCCGUCCAACUUCUCUGGGAUUUCAACCUUCAACCAACAGGAAUUUUUACUGCGCCAUUUUCCUUGUCGAAAGUCUGUGGUAACGUUAAGUGUCUCUAAAUUACUUACUAAAUCAUUGUUUUGCAUUUCAAUAGAAGCCGCAUUGUAGAACAACUUAAUAUUGAUGUCCAGCUACACUGCAGCUGGCUGCAUGUCUUAAAACACAGAAUUCUGAAGGGCGAACGUGGCAGAGUUGAUGGCUAACGUUAGCUCCAAUGUGCCAUUAAAUACAUGAGCAAAGCCCUUAUAGGCAAAAGUACAGUGAAGUCCAGUUGGUAAAUGCUCAUUACUAUAAGUGCAAUAAAACCUUUACACGUAAAAAGCCUUAACGUUAAUGUUAUUAGUCCUGGCACCGAAACGCGGUCUUAAACUGGCCCGGGGCUACAGCUUACUGUUCAGGCUGCAGCCUCUGCUGCUCUGUGUCGGCUCCUGCGCGCGCGCACACACAUACAGCGGCCAGCAGUGGCCGAGGCCGCAGUGAAGACUGUGUUGUGAAGGGGGCUCUAAACUACACCAGCUUACCACAGCUACGCUCGUUAUUCUUUCAUCGAGUUCUCCAUCCCAGCUGGCAGCGGAGGCAUCAGAGUUUAUGAUAAGAAGGGGAUGCAGACGUAUCUGAAGAAGUAGCACAGCAACCUAAUGCUGGUGUAUUUACUAUCAGAUCUGACAACGAUUCCAACCUCUUCCAGCUCUUCCCAGUCCACCAGGCCACUGCUUGAUGUCGUAACCAACUCAGCACUGUAGGUUUCAGCUUGUGGCUCAGAUGUUACAGUCAUCCUGGAUGAGGAAUGAAGCGCUUCCAGAAAACGAGAGAAGUUAAUUGAAUCGGCACUGACCAAUAAACCUGGUGGAGGUCGUAUCAUCAAGGCGAAGAAAGCUCUGACAGACUCCUCACGGCAACAGAUGGUUAAAGGAUAAUAUUCCUGUGCAGUUCCCCUCUUCUCAUUUCAUCCAAUCUCUCCAUCUCCACAACUAUGGAAAUGAAAUACUCAGCAUGUCCUUUAGAUGUUCUUCCUGUAAAAUUUAUAAAAGAUGUUUUUGACACAGCGAGCCCCUCUGUUUUGGCAAAUUUUGCAAACUGUUCUCUGUCGUCAGGUUCCGCUGCUGAAAUGCAAAGCACUUUGUAACUGUGUUUUGAAAGGUUCGAUGUAAAUAAAGUUUAUUAAUAUUUCUAUUA